GAUCGACUUCCUUCUCAAUAGUGAAAUUGCUUCUGUUGUUCAAGUGAGAGAAACAUGCAGGGAGUUGUUUGAAAACAACAUCGUCGCCGUCGGGAGGUUUACUGCGGGGAGUUUGGGGUGACCUACCUCUGCAUGGACUAUACCACCAGGGAGGCCCUCGCUCUGCGAGGGUGGGGAGCUCUUCGACCGGAUCGUUGUGAGGGUGCACUACACGGAACGCGCCACCACUGUGGUCACCAAAACCAUCGUCAGGGUCGUGUAGAUCUGCCAUAUGCAUGAAGUGGAUGCACCGGGACCUCAAACCAGAGAAUUUCUUGUUUGCAAACUGGAAAGAAACGGCUGCACUGAAAGAAAUUGAUUUUGGCCUGUUUGUUUUGUUUUUCACUCCAAGUAGAGUCAAUCCUAAUAUCCUAUAUGGCUAUCGUUGAAGCUUUCCAUUUUGACCCGUCUGUCACUUGUCGAUGAUAUGGUCAGAGGACAAAGCUGAGCUGAUAC